AAUUGAAGAAGGAGGGAUAUUAGUGAAUGGGUUUGUGGUUUAUAAAAGGUUAAUGAGAGAGGAAGAUGGAUGAUGAAGGGUGAGUAGAGAAUGAAGAAGACUCUCACCCAAUUUUUUUUUGUUUUCUUCUCUUCCCCAUUUUAAUGAGUGUGCUUGCCUUUUUUUUAGAGAGAAUUUAUCUAUUAUGAGGGAGUGUAACACGUGUCACAUUCUUGUGGAGGGAGGAAGAAAUUUUUUGCUGCCAAAAUUCAAAUCUCAUGUUCUGACCGCGUUUUGUGUGGGUUUACAACAAACCAUUUUUCUUUCUUCCAAUAGGACAUGUGUCCCUUGCUGAAUAGAUGAGGAGAUAAAUUUUGAUUUUUUUAUGAUUUUCUUUAUCAAUAUUAUUCAUUUAAUUUCUAAUUUUUGAUUGGAUGAUAAAAUACACAUGGAUUGCAAACAUGAGCCUUUGAUUAACUUGAAUUUGAUGGUCAAGAUUAAAUUAAAGAAACACAAAUGGUAACCAAUUUUAAAAUGUCUAGAAUGCCUCUUUCUAGAAAUUUUAAUUGAUAAAAAAUUAAUUAAAUCAAUUAAAAUCACUAAAAUUUAGACACU
rnacentral:lncRNA from 1 species